rnacentral:rRNA from 1 species
GGGGCUUGGGGGCGGUCCUAAACAUGCAAGUCGAGCGGUAGUAGAGAAGAUUGCUUCUCUUGAGAGCGGCGGACGGGUGAGUAAGCCUAGGAAUCUGCCUGGUAGUGGGGGAUAACGUUCGGAAACGGACGCUAAUACCGCAUACGUCCUACGGGAGAAAGCAGGGGACCUUCGGGCCUUGCGCUAUCAGAUGAGCCUAGGUCGGAUUAGCUAGUUGGUGGGGUAAUGGCUCACCAAGGCGACGAUCCGUAACUGGUCUGAGAGGAUGAUCAGUCACACUGGAACUGAGACACGGUCCAGACUCCUACGGGAGGCAGCAGUGGGGAAUAUUGGACAAUGGGCGAAAGCCUGAUCCAGCCAUGCCGCGUGUGUGAAGAAGGUCUUCGGAUUGUAAAGCACUUUAAGUUGGGAGGAAGGGUUGUAGAUGACUACUCUGCGGUUUUUUUUUUUUCCAGUGUCCCAGAAGGGCACCUAUCUCUCUGUCAAAAUUCCUUUGUAAUGCAGAGGCGGGGAAAGGUUUUUCC